rnacentral:guide_RNA from 1 species
AUAUAAACAAAAUAACAGACACAUGAGGAGAGAGAUAAGAUAUAUGUC